AUUGAACGCUGGCGGCAUGCCUUACACAUGCAAGUCGAACGGCAGCACGGGGCAACCUGGUGGCGAGUGGCGAACGGGUGAGUAAUGCAUCGGAACGUGCCAUUGAGUGGGGGAUAACGUAGCGAAAGUUGCGCUAAUACCGCAUAUUCUGUGAGCAGGAAAGCAGGGGACCGCAAGGCCUUGCGCUCUUUGAGCGGCCGAUGUCAGAUUAGUUAGUUGGUGAGGUAACGGCUUACCAAGGCGACGAUCUGUAGCGGGUCUGAGAGGAUGAUCCGCCACACUGGAACUGAGACACGGUCCAGACUCCUACGGGAGGCAGCAGUGGGGAAUUUUGGACAAUGGGCGCAAGCCUGAUCCAGCCAUGCCGCGUGAGUGAAGAAGGCC
rnacentral:rRNA from 1 species